ensembl:lncRNA PCBP1-AS1 PCBP1 antisense RNA 1
AAAUGGCGACACGUGGUUAGCAUUCGUCGCCAACGAGAAAUUGGGGUCGGCCCGAAAGCUCUAGAAUGCACCCCUCUUCCUCCCCGGGGCCUUCCACCUCCGCGAGUUUUAUGACUUAAAAAAGCCCACAGGCUGGUCUGAAGAGGAAGACAAACAUAAAGAUGAAGUGCUUAAUUCAAGGUCACACAAUGUCGGGGAUGGACCUCCAGAUUUCCUUACUGGAAAACAAGCUCAGGGCUCCCACUGAUUGUACAUUAUGGUGAGACGUGGUCUUGUAACACAGUGGUUAAGAAUGUGACUUUGGAGCCAGCCUGCUAGGGGCUGAAUUCUGACUCAGCCAUUUACUAACUGUGUGACCUUAGGUGGAGUCUCACUCUGUAGCCCAAGCUGGAGUGGCGUGAUCUCGACUCACUGCAACCUCCGCCUCCUGGGAUCAAGUGAUUCUCGUGCCUCAGCCUCCUGAGUAGCCGGGACUACAGAUGUCUGUCCCGGGCUCCAGUUUUGUGGUUCCACCUGAGACCUUUCCACCUAUAUGCUUUACAGGUCACAGAAUUUUCCACACUCCUUGACAGAGGUGCUUAACCCUUAUCCAUCAGCAUUCUCAGACAGCACCUCCGGUUAGGGACAGUAUCUGACCGUCCGACAUCCCUGCAGCCCCCAUGUGUCACACAGACUCAGCCUCAGGUAGAUGGUUUCCGUAGAUGGUGGCUUUCUUUGGACCCUUGACAUCAACCAGUUACUAUUUGACUCUUCUGCAGAACCCCAUGUUGACCCCUGCUUUGAGGUGGCAGAGUUAACACUACUCUUCGUUAUAAGCUCUCGUCUGGGGCAACUCAGAAGAACCUCCUGCAACCACCGCUGUACUUUCUGUCUCUAUGAACUUGACUACUCUAGACACCUCAUGGGACCAGAUGUGCAGAGGUAAUGAAUACCAGGGAAUCAGGAAACCACUGGAUCAGUUCUUUGAGCCACAGAACAACACUCAUCCCAGCAGCUGGGAAGCUAUCUGCAAAAGUCCAUCUGCAGAAAGGGCUUCCUGGUCUUGCGUGUGGCUGGGCCAUUUCUCUGGAUGCAGGUUUUUCAUUAUACAGUCUUCUCAAAGAACCACCUGCUCUCAACACCUUCUCGGUGACUCCAUUUCCCCUCCUCUGGGCUCCUGGAAUGCCACAAUGGCCCCACCUUAGCCAGGCAGCUGUGAUGAGAGGUGUUGACCCAACUGCCUCUCUGCUGGCUCACUGAAUCAGGUGGAAGGGGCUGGGGACAGCACAGUCUUGCAUUGUGGUUGGGGACCUGGGCCAUCCAGAGGCAGGACUGUCCAAAGGCAGGGUACUGCUGGGAUUCCGCCAGGCACUGGGUGAUGCAUGGCAUAGGGAGCUGAAGAGGGACAGGCUCUUGGCCAGGAAAAACAGCCCCAGAGCCACAGGUGUGCCAUCGAGUCUUCCUCCUCUCCCAUCCUUAAUCACUCCUGUUUGGUGACAGCACACAGCUAGGCCUGGAGCCCAGCAAAGAGCCCCUGGGUCCCAGAGGAAGUUGUUCUGGGGGCUGGAGACAAUCACAAAUGCCAGGUUUGUGAGCCCCAGACUCUGGUUCAUAGCAAGAGGCAGACUUGUGAACAAACCACCAGAUCACACCGUAAAACACGCUCAACGAGGAGUGGGUGCCCUUUCUAGGGACAGGCAGAAGGCUCCAUGGAGUGACCUUUGAAUGGGGACAUAAAAGUGGAUCCCUUCAACAGCCCCUGCACAGCCCCAAGUCAGGCCUCCAGCCCUUGGACUCACAGAUGUCCUCUGUAGACGACUGGAUGUCCUCCCGUGCUACCCUUUACCCCUGCAGCG